rnacentral:rRNA from 1 species
AACGAACGCUGGCGGCAGGCCUAACACAUGCAAGUCGAACGCUCCGCAAGGGGAGUGGCGCACGGGUGAGUAACACGUGGGAACCUACCUUCUGGUACGGAACAACCAAGGGAAACUUUGGCUAAGACCGUAUACGACCUCCGGGUGAAAGAUUGAUCGCCGGAAGAGGGGCCCGCGUCCGAUUAGGUAGUUGGUGAGGUAACGGCUCACCAAGCCUUCGAUCGGUAGCUGGUCUGAGAGGAUGACCAGCCACACUGGGACUGAGACACGGCCCAGACUCCUACGGGAGGCAGCAGUGGGGAAUAUUGGACAAUGGGCGCAAGCCUGAUCCAGCCAUGCCGCGUGAGUGAUGAAGGCCC